AGUGGGGGAAUAACUUCGGGAAACCGAGGCUAAUACCGCAUAAUACCCACGGGUCAAAGGAGCAAUUCGCUUGAGGAGGAGGUCGCGGCCGAUUAGUUAGUUGGCGGGGUAAUGGCCCACCAAGACAGUGAUCGGUAUCCGGCCUGAGAGGGCGCACGGACACACUGGAACUGAAACACGGUCCAGACUCCUACGGGAGGCAGCAGUGGGGAAUUUUGCGCAAUGGGGGAAACCCUGACGCAGCAACGCCGCGUGGAGGAUGAAGUCUCUUGGGACGUAAACUCCUUUCGAUCGGGACGAUUAUGACGGUACCGGAAGAAGAAGCCCCGGCUAACUUCGUG
rnacentral:rRNA from 1 species